UACGAAGGGGGCUAGCGUUGCUCGGAAUUACUGGGCAUAAAGGGCGCGUAGGCGGACAGUUAAGUUGGGGGUGAAAGCCCGGGGCUCAACCUCGGAAUUGCCUUCAAUACUGGCUGUCUUGAGUGUGAGAGAGGUGUGUGGAACUCCGAGUGUAGAGGUGAAAUUCGUAGAUAUUCGGAAGAACACCAGUGGCGAAGGCGACACACUGGCUCACUACUGACGCUGAGGCGCGAAAGCGUGGGGAGCAAACAGG
rnacentral:rRNA from 1 species